rnacentral:lncRNA from 1 species
CAGUGAACUGUGUGGAGCAGAUUUGCCCUCAAUGUCAGCAGGCAUCAUCCAAUCAGCUGGGAGCCUGGAUAGAACAGAAGACAGAGAAAAGGUUGACAUAAAUGUGUCCAGAAGCAGGACCUGAAGCAAGAGCACUUUUAGAAGGAAUCUGCGAUUCUUGGAACUGGUGUGCAGUAUUCACUUGAGAUCUCUGAGCUCGCCACGUGCAUGCCUUGUCUUUUCUGACCUGGUGAAUCUUCUCUUAGGCUGAGUCUCUUUUUGGUAGAGGCUUUUUGACUUUCUUCAGGAUUUGGUUUGGUACUAAGGCAGCCUUAAAUAAAGGAACUUGCAUCCCUCUUAAAACUAUGGAAGUUUUGGGGGUUUGUUUGUUUGUUUUGCAAACGCUUUCUGGUGUAAAGAUAAGAGUACUCUAGUUUUUACAGAAUUUAUAUUGUUUCUCAGGCAUGACUUUUCUGGUGAAUUCACAUUGGUUCUGGACACCUAGUUUAAUGUUUUGUUUGGUCUGCAUACAUGGGUUAAAGUUUUUGUGAACACUCUGAUUUUGGUUUAGUUACACAUGUCUGUAAGUAACUUGGAUCUUCUUUUCUCUAGCUUAUUUCUGAAAAGCUUCUGAGAGCGAAAAUAUACAUCCUAAAUGGCGGACACAGAAUGACUAAUUUAAAAAGCGAAUACCUGAAACACUAGUCCAAAUUCCUGACAUUCUCUGACAGGAUUUAUGGGAUUUUCUUUGCUCUUGAGAGAUUAAUAAGAAAGAAAGUGAGAUUCUCAAACAUUAAGGCAUGCCAGGUUUUCUGAGACUCCAGCUGGCUACAUAUGAUGGCCUGUUCUCAUGCACAUUUUUAAACUAAUGAGCAAACUUUCCUUCAUGUCAAGGAAAAUUCAGAGCUCAAUGGCCAUUAUUCAAACUCUCUAAGCUUGUUAAAAAUCUACAACCAACCAUAGAGUUAACAUGCAGAGCUUUCUAAGUUCUCAAU